UGGGGAAUAUUGGACAAUGGGCGAAAGCCUGAUCCAGCCAUGCCGCGUGUGUGAAGAAGGUCUUCGGAUUGUAAAGCUCUUUUGGCGGGGAAGAUAAUGACGGUACCCGCAGAAUAAGCUCCGGCUAACUUCGUGCCAGCAGCCGCGGUAAUACGAAGGGAGCUAGCGUUGUUCGGAAUCACUGGGCGUAAAGCGCACGUAGGCGGAUUUGUCAGUCAGGGGUGAAAUCCCGGGGCUCAACCUCGGAACUGCCUUUGAUACAGCAAGUCUUGAGUUCGAGAGAGGUGGGUGGAAUUCCUAGUGUAGAGGUGAAAUUCGUAGAUAUUAGGAAGAACACCGGUGGCGAAGGCGGCCCACUGGCUCGAUACUGACGCUGAGGUGCGAAAGCGUGGGGAGCAAACAGGAUUAGAUACCCCCGUAGUCCCUGAGCGGGCUGGCAAGGCGCAU
rnacentral:rRNA from 1 species